GAUGAACGCUGGCGGCGUGCCUAAUACAUGCAAGUCGAGCGAACAGACGAGGAGCUUGCUCCUCUGACGUUAGCGGCGGACGGGUGAGUAACACGUGGAUAACCUACCUAUAAGACUGGGAUAACUUCGGGAAACCGGAGCUAAUACCGGAUAAUAUAUUGAACCGCAUGGUUCAAUAGUGAAAGACGGUUUUGCUGUCACUUAUAGAUGGAUCCGCGCCGCAUUAGCUAGUUGGUAAGGUAACGGCUUACCAAGGCGACGAUGCGUAGCCGACCUGAGAGGGUGAUCGGCCACACUGGAACUGAGACACGGUCCAGACUCCUACGGGAGGCAGCAGGAGGGAAUCUUCCGCAAUGGGCGAAAGCCUGACGGAGCAACGCCGCGUGAGUGAUGAAGGUCUUCGGAUCGUAAAACUCUGUUAUUAGGGAAGAACAAAUGUGUAAGUAACUAUGCACGUCUUGACGGUACCUAAUCAGAAAGCCACGGCUAACUACGG
rnacentral:rRNA from 1 species